GCCCGCUCAGAAACUACAAAGGAAGUUGACGGGGCCGGCACAAGCGGAGGAGCAUGUGGUUAAUUCGAUGAUACGCGAGGAACCUUACCUGGGCUCGAACGUAAGAUGACUGUAGGUGAAAGCUUACAUCUCUUCGGAGCAUUUUACGAGGUGCUGCAUGGUUGUCGUCAGCUCGUGCCGUGAGGUGUCGGGUUAAGUCCCAUAACGAGCGCAACCCCUACCUUUAGUUGCCAUCAGGUUAAGCUGGGGACUCUAAAGGAACUGCCUACGCAAGUAGUGAGGAAGGCGGGGAUGACGUCAAAUCAGCACGGCCCUUACGUCCAGGGCUACACACGUGCUACAAUGGCCGAUACAGAGGGCAGCUACCUGGUGACAGGAUGCAAAUCUCCAAAGUCGGUCUCAGUUCGGAUCGGAGUCUGCAACCCGACUCCGUGAAGUUGGAUUCGCUAGUAAUCGCGCAUCAGCCAUGGCGCGGUGAAUACGUUCCCGGGCCUU
rnacentral:rRNA from 1 species